CAAUAGCGUAUAUUUAAGUUGCUGCAGUUAAAAAGCUCGUAGUUGGAUUUCGGGUGGGAAUGGCCGGUCCGCCGUUUCGGUGUGCACUUGCUACGCCCACCUUGCUGCCGGGGACGUGCUCUUGAGUUCACGCUCGGGACACGGAGUCGGCGAGGUUACUUUGAGUAAAUUAGAGUGUUCAAAGCAGGCCUACGCUCUGAAUACAUUAGCAUGGAAUAACACGAUAGGACUCUGGCCUAUCUUGUUGGUCUGUAGGACCGGAGUAAUGAUUAAGAGGGACAGUCGGGGGCAUUCGUAUUUCAUUGUCAGAGGUGAAAUUCUUGGAUUUAUGAAAGACGAACUACUGCGAAAGCAUUUGCCAUGGAUGUUUUCAUUAA
rnacentral:rRNA from 1 species